rnacentral:rRNA from 1 species
UACGAAGGGGGCUAGCGUUGCUCGGAAUUACUGGGCGUAAAGCGCACUAGAGCGGCUUUCUAAGUCGGGGGUGAAAUCCUGGAGCUCAACUCCAGAACUGCCUUCGAUACUGGAAAGCUCGAGUCCGGGAGAGGUGAGUGGAACUGCGAGUGUAGAGGUGAAAUUCGUAGAUAUUGGGAGGAACACCGGUGGCGAAGGCGGUUCUCUGGGCAUUACCUGACGCUGAGGAGCGAAAGUGUGGGGAGCGAACAGG